GACGAACGCUGUCGGCGUGCUUAACACAUGCAAGUCGAACGGAAAGGCCCUGCUUUUGUGGGGUGCUCGAGUGGCGAACGGGUGAGUAACACGUGAGUAACCUGCCCUUGACUUUGGGAUAACUUCAGGAAACUGGGGCUAAUACCGGAUAGGAGCUCCUGCUGCAUGGUGGGGGUUGGAAAGUUUCGGCGGUUGGGGAUGGACUCGCGGCUUAUCAGCUUGUUGGUGGGGUAGUGGCUUACCAAGGCUUUGACGGGUAGCCGGCCUGAGAGGGUGACCGGCCACAUUGGGACUGAGAUACGGCCCAGACUCCUACGGGAGGCAGCAGUGGGGAAUAUUGCACAAUGGGCGGAAGCCUGAUGCAGCAACGCCGCGUGCGGGAUGACGGCCUUCGGGUUGUAAACCGCUUUCGCCUGUGACGAAGCGUGAGUGACGGUAAUGGGUAAAGAAGCACCGGCUAACUACGUGCCAGCAGCCGCGGUGAUACGUAGGGUGCGAGCGUUGUCCGGAUUUAUUGGGCGUAAAGGGCUCGUAGGUGGUUGAUCGCGUCGGAAGUGUAAUCUUGGGGCUUAACCCUGAGCGUGCUUUCGAUACGGGUUGACUUGAGGAAGGUAGGGGAGAAUGGAAUUCCUGGUGGAGCGGUGGAAUGCGCAGAUAUCAGGUGGAACACCAGUGGCGAAGGCGGUUCUCUGGGCCUUUCCUGACGCUGAGGAGCGAAAGCGUGGGGAGCGAACAGGCUUAGAUACCCUGGUAGUCCACGCUGUAAACGGUGGGUACUAGGUGUGGGGUCCAUUCCACGGGUUCCGUGCCGUAGCUAACGCUUUAAGUACCCCGCCUGGGGAGUACGGCCGCAAGGCUAAAACUCAAAGGAAUUGACGGGGCCCCGCACAAGCGGCGGAGCAUGCGGAUUAAUUCGAUGCAACGCGUAGAACCUUACCUGGGUUUGACAGGGAUCGGGAGUGCUCAGAGAUGGGUGUGCCUCUUUUGGGGUCGGUUCACAGGUGGUGCAUGCCUGUCGUCAGCUCGUGUCGUGAGAUGUUGGGUUAAGUCCCGCAACGAGCGCAACCCUUGUUCACUGUUGCCAGCACGUUAUGGUGGGGACUCAGUGGAGACCGCCGGGGUCAACUCGGAGGAAGGUGGGGAUGACGUCAAGUCAUCAUGCCCCUUAUGUCCAGGGCUUCACGCAUGCUACAAUGGCUGGUACAGAGAGUGGCGAGCCUGUGAGGGUGAGCGAAUCUCGGAAAGCCGGUCUCAGUUCGGAUUGGGGUCUGCAACUCGACCUCAUGAAGUCGGAGUCGCUAGUAAUCGCAGAUCAGCAACGCUGCGGUGAAUACGUUCCCGGG
rnacentral:rRNA from 1 species